GGGUUGUGAGGUUAAGCGACUAAGCGUACACGGUGGAUGCCCUGGCAGUCAGAGGCGAUGAAGGGCGUGCUAAUCUGCGAUAAGCGCCGGUAAGGUGAUAUGAACCGUUAUAACCGGCGAUACCCGAAUGGGGAAACCCAGUGUGACUCGUCACACUAUCAUUAACUGAAUCCAUAGGUUAAUGAGGCGAACCGGGGGAACUGAAACAUCUAAGUACCCCGAGGAAAAGAAAUCAACCGAGAUUCCCCCAGUAGCGGCGAGCGAACGGGGAGGAGCCCAGAGCCUGAAUCAGCAUGUGUGUUAGUGGAAGCGUCUGGAAAGGCGCGCGAUACAGGGUGACAGCCCCGUACACAAAAGCGCAUGUGCUGUGAGCUCGAUGAGUAGGGCGGGACACGUGGUAUCCUGUCUGAAUAUGGGGGGACCAUCCUCCAAGGCUAAAUACUCCUGACUGACCGAUAGUGAACCAGUACCGUGAGGGAAAGGCGAAAAGAACCCCGGCGAGGGGAGUGAAAAAGAACCUGAAACCGUGUACGUACAAGCAGUGGGAGCACCCUUUGGGUGUGACUGCGUACCUUUUGUAUAAUGGGUCAGCGACUUAUAUUCUGUAGCAAGGUUAACCGAAUAGGGGAGCCGGAGGGAAACC
rnacentral:rRNA from 3 species